ACGGCUGUAUAAACUUUAGAAGAAAUAAGUUUUAAAAAUUAUUUUUUCUUCUCCCUAUAAUAAUUAGAAACUCUCUAUACAUUUAUAUAUAUUUUUUUCAAACUUUUUUUUUGUAAAUUAAUUAUCAGUAUUUUUUUUACUUUUUUUUGACAUCCACUUUUCUUUAUAAAUUUAAUAUUUUCAAUAUCACAAUUGUAUUUUCU
rnacentral:lncRNA from 1 species